CAGUAGCCGCGGUAAUCCGUAGGUGGCAAGCGUUGUCCGGAAUUAUUGGGCGUAAAGCGCGCGCAGGUGGUUUAAUAAGUCUGAUGUGAAAGCCCACGGCUCAACCGUGGAGGGUCAUUGGAAACUGUUAAACUAGAGUGCAGGAGAGAAAAGUGGAAUUCCUAGUGUAGCGGUGAAAUGCGUAGAGAUUAGGAGGAACACCAGUGGCGAAGGCGGCUUUUUGGCCUGUAACUGACACUGAGGCGCGAAAGCGUGGGGAGCAAACAGGAUUAGAUACCCCCGUAGUCCCUGUCUCUUAUAC
rnacentral:rRNA from 1 species